rnacentral:rRNA from 1 species
AGGGCGCAAGCGUUGUCCGGAAUUAUUGGGCGUAAAGAGCUCGUAGGUGGUUUGUUACGUCUGCUGUGAAAUCCUAGGGCUUAACCCUGGGCUUGCAGUGGAUACGGGCAGACUAGAGUGCGGUAGGGGAGACUGGAAUUCCUGGUGUAGCGGUGGAAUGCGCAGAUAUCAGGAGGAACACCGAUGGCGAAGGCAGGUCUCUGGGCCGCAACUGACGCUGAGGAGCGAAAGCAUGGGGAGCGAACAGG